UACGAAGGGGGCUAGCGUUGCUCGGAAUCACUGGGCGUAAAGCGCACGUAGGCGGAUCUUUAAGUCAGGGGUGAAAUCCUGGAGCUCAACUCCAGAACUGCCCUUGAUACUGGGGAUCUUGAGUCCGGAAGAGGUGAGUGGAACUCCGAGUGUAGAGGUGAAAUUCGUAGAUAUUAGGAAGAACACCAGUGGCGAAGGCGGCUCACUGGCCCGGUACUGACGCUGAGGCGCGAAAGCGUGGGGAGCAAACAGG
rnacentral:rRNA from 1 species